GUUUCCUCACUUUUCUGUCCAUCAUGAAAGCUCCUGGUCUUAAAGGCAAGCGCUGCACGGCAUCUCGAAGCUGCAUUUCAAAAAACAGAGAACACGCCUCAUUCAUCUACACGGCCAGACAACAGAUGAGUCCGACGGCAGAAAGGCGCGUCCAUGAGCCCAGGGGUGUGAGCAGAUAUUUGCUGCAAAGAGUGGGGUCUGAGGCCGCGCGGCUCUCCUACUUCAGCCGCCACAGGAGCGUUACGCAGAGGGAGAUCCUGGAGGCAUGGAGCCAGCUAAGAAGCCGCCGCGGGAAUACAGCUGCACUGGCUGGAGCUUGAGUCUGGCGUUUUUAAACCACGUUUUAAAGUGUAUUAAAUUAAUUUUAAAUGGAUGUUAUUAUUUAUUUGUUGUAAUAAAGCCAUUUUGCUUAACUCGUUUCUUUUCCUGAAGCAUGCUAGUUUAAUUUCCCCCUCAGGCGAAGCAAGCUCUGUCUGGACAUUUUCUUGUAAUCGAUCUUAUUAAACACUAAGUUUAUUUGA
rnacentral:lncRNA from 1 species